CGCGUAGGCGGAAAUAUAAGUCAGACGUGAAAUUCCGGGGCUUAACCUCGGAGCUGCAUCUGAAACUAUAUUUCUAGAGGAAGGGCGGAGAAAACGGAAUUCCACAUGUAGCGGUGAAAUGCGUAGAUAUGUGGAGGAACACCUGUGGCGAAAGCGGUUUUCUAGCUUAUUCCUGACGCUGAUGCGCGAAAGCAAGGGGAGCAAACA
rnacentral:rRNA from 1 species